GAUGAACGCUGGCGGCGUGCCUAAUACAUGCAAGUCGAGCGAACAGACGCGGAGCUUGCUCCUCUGACGUUAGCGGCGGACGGGUGAGUAACACGUGGAUAACCUCCCUAUAAGACUGGGAUAACUUCGGGAAACCGGAGAUAAUACCGGAUAAUAUAUUGAACCGCAGGGUUCAAUGGUGAAAGUCGGUUUUGCGGUCUCUUCUAGAUGCAUCUCCGCCGCAUUAGCUAGUUGGUAAGGUAACGGCUUACCACGGCGACGAGGCGUAGCCGACGUGAGUGGCUGAUCGGCCACACUGGAGCUGGGACGCGGUCCAUGCGCCUGCGGGAGGCAGCAGUCGGGAAUCUUCCGCAAUGGGCGAAAGCCUUACGGAGUAGCGCCGCGUGUGUUAUGACGGCCCUCGGAUCGUAAAACUCUGUUAUUGGGGAAGAACAAAUGUGGAAGUUACUGUGCCCGUCUUGACGGUACCUAAUCAGAAAGCCCCGGCUAACUACGUG
rnacentral:rRNA from 1 species